GAUGACUAUUGCCUCAUCUGAAUGGGGAGUUGAAUGCUAGUUUGAAAUGCGUGAAAAGUUGAAGAGGAGCACAAGACAGAGAUCAGGAGAAAGGAAAAUACAGUGAGUCAUCCUCUGAAGAACAGCAAAUGGCGACCCUGUUUACUGAGCUUGGUCGUGGCUUUCACCCCUAACCCUGUGGUUCAGCAGUCUGCACGGCAGGACCAGAGCUCAGCUGGAUCAAGACGUGCAUCAAGCCAGCCGUGGUAAAAGGUGCCAUGCCAAGUUGAGAAGUUUACAGAGGACUACAAGUGAUAGGCAAGUCUGCCAAGGGUACCAGGCACCCCAGCGGGCAAGAUCAAAAACAACAACAAAAACACUGCCUCAGCUAGCUCUCCUGUUCAGUGCAGAAAUCUCCAGAGUGGGUGAGCUGUGAGUACACAGCAUUAGAAAGUGAUCUUCCCACCCAUGCUGAUAUUUAGCCAAAUAGACUUAUUAUUCAGGGAUGCUUAAGAAAGCAGGGAUGUGGCAAAUUGUCAUAUUAUAAUUUAGGUCUUUAUAGCCGUAGUUCCCACACCCGGUUAUUCAUAGUUCAGGCUACUAUAUCAGCUGUUCCAUGGUUUUGUAUUGAGCUUAUGCAAUGCAAAAUUUCCAGUAAAAACAUUUUGCAGGUAUAGUUUAAUAGGAAAUUGUUUCAAUUGACUGAGGGGGGAAAUUAGCAAAGAUGAGAAACUGCAGGGUUUUUUUUCUUCUUUUUUUUCUUUUUUUCCAGUAUCAAAUCAGGACAAUCAGACCCUAACCAUUCAAACUGCAGACAUAUGAACCAUACCUGUGUUUGGUAGGUCAAGAGUAUUUAUUUUUAUCCUAAAAUUACAAGACCUGGAUAAGGAAAUAAACACAACUCACAAGGAUUAAGCA
rnacentral:lncRNA from 1 species